CCUGGAGCUCAGCACGUACAGUCCCGGUAUUAAGAGAAAGAAAACCGCAUGAUUUCUGCUUUCCUUGCCUUAUCAUGCCUUUUUCCAUCUUUUCAGUUUAAGGCUUGCAUAGAGAGCUAGCCUUCAAGGAGGUGGCUUCCAGGUCAGUUCC